rnacentral:rRNA from 1 species
CUUGAGUGGGGGAUAACCUAGAGAAAUCUGGGCUAAUACCGCAUAACACCUACGGGUCAAAGGAGCAAUUCGCUUAAGGAGGGGGUCGCGGCAGAUUAGCUAGUUGGCGGGGUAAUGGCCCACCAAGGCGGUGAUCUGUAUCCGGCCUGAGAGGGCGCACGGACACACUGGAACUGAAACACGGUCCAGACUCCUACGGGAGGCAGCAGUGGGGAAUUUUGCGCAAUGGGGGAAACCCUGACGCAGCAACGCCGCGUGGAGGAUGAAGUCCCUUGGGACGUAAACUCCUUUCGAUCGGGACGAUUAUGACGGUACCGAGAGAAGAAGCCCCGGCUAACUUCGUGCCAGCAGCCGCGGUAAUACGAGGGGGGCGAGCGUUGUUCGGAAUUAUUGGGCGUAAAGGGUGCGUAGGCGGUUCGGUAAGUCUUAUGUGAAAUCUUCGGGCUUAACUCGAAGUCUGCAUGAGAAACUGCCGGGCUUGAGUGUGGGAGAGGUGAGUGGAAUUUCCGGUGUAGCGGUGAAAUGCGUAGAUAUCGGAAGGAACACCUGUGGCGAAAGCGGCUCACUGGACCACAACUGACGCU